AACGAACGCUGGCGGCGUGGAUAAGACAUGCAAGUCGAACGGGAACUCUCUUGGUAGCAAUACCGAAAGAGUUUCAGUGGCGAACGGGUGCGUAACACGUGGGCAAUCUGCCGAGAAGUGGGGGAUAGCUCGCCGAAAGGCGAAUUAAUACCGCAUAUGAUCAGAGGGGACAUCCCUUCGACAUCAAAGCCGGGGCAACCUGGCGCUUUUUGAGGAGCCCGCGGCCUAUCAGCUAGUUGGUGAGGUAACGGCUCACCAAGGCUAUGACGGGUAGCUGGUCUGAGAGGACGACCAGUCACACUGGAACUGAGACACGGUCCAGACACCUACGGGUGGCAGCAGUCGAGAAUUUUUCUC
rnacentral:rRNA from 1 species